AACCACAAGCUACUAUGACGAAGACAAUAUUUUUCGCUCCGGUCUCAAUUUUAACAUCUUUCGGAAGUUUGGCUGACACUAUGUUUUCAAGGAUAAAUCGUCCGCAUUGGGCGCCCCGUCCGCAUUCACUUUCACAAACGGUGGCUCUCCUGAGGAGGCUGCAGAGUACCCUGGUGAUUGCUGAACACAACAAUGAGGUGCUGACUCCAGUCACAUUGAAUGCCAUCACUGCCGCUCAGAAAACAGGCGAUGUCACUUGCCUCGUGGCUGGAAGUCAGUGUGGAAAGGUUGCAGAGGAACUGAGCAAAGUCAAUGGAGUUAAGAAAGUGCUGGUUGCAGACAAUGAAGUAUACAAAGGAUUCCUUCCAGAGGCAUUGACAUCAUUGGUAUUGGCAUUACAAAAACAGUUUAACUUCAAGUAUGUGAUUGCACCUGCUAGUGCCACAGGAAAGGGCUUGAUACCUCGGAUAGCAGCCAAGCUGGACGUGUCCCCAAUAUCUGAGAUCAUUGGAAUCAAGGACAAGGACACGUUUGUGAGAACAAUCUAUGCUGGUAAUGCCAUCCAGACACUCAAGUCCAGUGAUGCAGUGAAGUGUAUCACUGUGCGUGGCACAGCAUUUGAGGCUGCCCAAACAACAGGAGGGUCUGGAGUCACUGAAAAGGUCUCUGGUGAAGCCGUAAAGAAUGACCAGUCAUCGUUUAUCAGCCAGGAAUUAACCAAGAGUGAUCGUCCAGCGCUUGCCAGUGCCAGAAUUGUGAUCUCUGGAGGCCGAGGCAUGAAGAAUGGUGAGAAUUUUGGUAUGCUUUAUGAGCUGGCAGACAAGAUGAAGGCAGCAGUGGGGGCCUCAAGGGCUGCCGUGGAUGCUGGCUUCGUGCCUAAUGACAUGCAGAUUGGCCAAACUGGCAAAAUAGUGGCCCCGGACCUGUACAUCGCAGUGGGCAAGGUUCAUAUCAAACACUCCACCUCUUCUCUCUCUAGGACCUGUACAUCGCAGUGGGCAUAUCAGGGGCCAUUCAGCACCUGGCGGGCAUGAAGGACAGUAAGGUGAUCGUGGCCAUCAACAAGGACCCUGAGGCGCCCAUCUUCCAGGUGGCAGACUACGGACUGGUCCAGGACCUCUUCAAGGCGAUCCCUGAGAUGUCGAGUAUGGUGAAGGUUUAAUUGUGCACGUUAGCUGGGAUAUGUAGGCAUCAAAUGGACAUUUGUUUGAGAGAUAUUACUUUUAAAGGAUUCAACACAUAUUUGCUCUCUUUUUUCAAUGUGUGUACAUGUGUAUUUUAUUAUUAUAACAUUAUUCAAAGUAUAAAAAAUAAAUUUGGACUAAGUAUUGUU